CAGUCGCCGCGGUAAUACGUAGGUGGCAAGCGUUGUCCGGAAUUAUUGGGCGUAAAGGGCUCGCAGGCGGUUUCUUAAGUCUGAUGUGAGAGCCCCCGGCUCAACCGGGGAGGGUCAUUGGAAACUGGGAAACUUGAGUGCAGAAGAGGAGAGUGGAAUUCCACGUGUAGCGGUGAAAUGCGUAGAGAUGUGGAGGAACACCGGUGGCGAAGGCGGCUCACUGGCCCGGAACUGACGCUGAGGCACGAAAGCGUGGGGAGCAAACAGGAUUAGAUACCCCAGUAGUCCCUGUCUCUUAUAC
rnacentral:rRNA from 1 species